rnacentral:lncRNA from 1 species
UUUCCAGCUACCUUCCUCAGAUUCCCCCAUGCGUACCAGGCCAGCUGCUCACUUGGUCAGCAAAGAGUACUUAGCCAAGUAUAAAAAGGCCAUUGAGCUGCAGAAAGCUCUUCCUGAUGAUGAUCCGCGUAGUUUCAAGCAACAGGCUAAUGUCCAUUGCACCUAUUGCCAAGGGGCUUAUGAUCAGGUUGGGUAUACCGACCUAGAACUCCAGGUUCAUGCUUCAUGGCUUUUCCUCCCUUUCCACCGUUACUAUCUCUACUUCAAUGAGAGAAUUCUUGCAAAGUUGAUCGACGAUCCCACCUUCGCUUUGCCCUAUUGGGCUUGGGAUAACCCUGAUGGCAUGUAUAUGCCGACCAUCUAUGCUAGUUCCCCAUCAUCAAUCUACGACGAGAAGCGCAACGCCAAGCACCUGCCUCCGACUGUGAUCGAUCUCGACUACGAUGGCACCGAACCCACAAUCC